rnacentral:tRNA from 1 species
GGAAGGAUGCUCGAGUGGUUUAAGAGGCACGCCUGGAAAGCGUGUAAACGUCUAAAGCGUUUCGAGGGUUCGAAUCCCUCUCCCUCCACAA